GCCAAAAAGAAGCUGGAAAAUGACGUCAACGAGGAGGGGGAGGGGGAAGAGGAGGGAGAAUGGGACAUAGAACGCGAAGUUUUCGGCCCCCAAGUGGAGCGCUUCCAAGGUCUUCACAUCCUGGACGAAAACAUGAACAUCAAUCAUCAGCGAGCCUUCUGACAGAGUGCUCAGGGCUGUCAGUGGUCCCCAGAAGGAAGGUGAUUUAACAUUAGAAAAGGUGAAAGCUCUCUACAAGGAGAAAAUGGAACGAGAAGAGAGAAAAGCGAGAUGGCUGGAAGAAAACCGCAAGAAUGGCGGACUGCUCACUCAAGACUUCGAACAAAUGCUGGCUGAAGAACAGAAGGCUACAGGGCAGAAAGCUGCAUCAGAUGACUCCAUCGUUAAGCGUGUCAUAGAUUUCUUCUGGUAAUGAUUUUUGUGAUGGUGAACGAAUCUCCUUAACUCUUACUUCCAUGUACUAUAUCUUUCACAUUGUUUUGAUUUUCUUCAUGGAGGUUACCAGGUUGUAGUAAAUGCAACUUAUGACUAAAGAAAUAUCACAAGAUAGGAAUCAAUUUUUUUUCCUUCUCAGGCUAAAAUUAGCUUAUAUAUUUAAUAUCAAUACAUUUGAUCUUUUGAUGAUGACGUCUAGCCAUAUUAACAGAUUUGUUGUCCACGUGUCCUUCCUUUAUGGUAGACGCGUAUAAUUCAGGUCCAGUUUGACAGCCAGAAGAAACGCCGUUGAUAUCACGUGCUGAAAUUACAGUUUCACAUUUUUGCAGAUUAAAUUUCCAUUGAAUUUGGUCCUGUGUAUGAAAUGAUUCAGUAUCUAUAGGGAUAUCUCGAAGGAAAUUAACGACCUAUUCAUAUUUUCCAAAUAAGUUUGAAUUCAUACCAAACUUUGAGCUUUAAUAGGUGAUUUCAUGUGAUGUAUAGACAUUCAUUCUACCAAAUUGUCUAUUUGCAUAUUGAUGGCAUAUGUUUUUAUAAACGCUGAAUGUGAUGAAAGUGAGUUAGAAAUAAUUUUUUGCACCAUCCUUUGAUAAUAUUUCAGCAACUUAGGAUAAAGCAACCUACUUCGACUAUAUUAGAACUGCAUAAAAAUAUGUCAAUAUAGUAAUGCUUGUGAAUUUUAAGAUUGUUUCACGUCAUACUUAAAAGCAGCGUUGUACAGAUUGCAAUUUGAUUCAUAUGACUACUUUUCUGACAAAAACUAAUCCUGUGUACUUUUCACUUCAAUAUAUAUUCGAUUUAUAAAGAAAUAAAGGAUUUAUUGAUGAA